rnacentral:rRNA from 1 species
UGGGGAAUCUUGGACAAUGGGCGCAAGCCUGAUCCAGCCAUGCCGCGUGAGUGAAGAAGGCCUUCGGGUUGUAAAGCUCUUUUACCAGGGACGAUAAUGACGGUACCUGGAGAAUAAGCCCCGGCUAACUUCGUGCCAGCAGCCGCGGUAAUACGAAGGGAGCUAGCGUUGUUCGGAAUUACUGGGCGUAAAGCGCACGUAGGCGGAUUGUUAAGUCAAAGGUGAAAUCCCGGAGCUCAACUUCGGAACUGCCUUUGAUACUGGCAAUCUAGAGUCCGGAAGAGGUUAGUGGAAUUCCCAGUGUAGAGGUGAAAUUCGUAGAUAUUGGGAAGAACACCAGUGGCGAAGGCGGCUAACUGGUCCGGUACUGACGCUGAGGUGCGAAAGCGUGGGGAGCAAACAGGAUUAGAUACCCCAGUAGUCCCUGAGCGGGCUGGCAAGGCGCAU